AAGUUAAUUGAGAAGAAUGAAGAUGGGCAGAGACUGCCUAAAACGACCAUAGUAGGUUUACGAUAGAAAUGGUGACACGUCUUGUCUCUGCAGACGGUUUUGAUUACAGCAUCAUCUUUCUGCCUUAUUAAAGAUCAGUAUCUGAAUUCUAAACUAUUACCAAACUUCAGUUAGCAUUAUAAUCUCAGGGACAUCAAAGUUGUGCUAAGAUGUUCUUGUUAUAAAAUGAUACAUUUGAUUGGUAGAUGCAUCAGGAAAUGAAACUAGGUAAGCCUUGGUUUUAACCCAAAAAAGUAAAAGGAGUUAUUUUAUCUUAUGGCUUUUCCUCCAUUUGGGCCUGUGGCAGUUGGAACAACAGAAACAACAAAAAUAGCAGCAGCUAACACUUACUGCUUGUGUGUUAGACACUCUGCUGGGCAUUUCGGUGUUCUUUCUUAUUUACUCCCCACAACAACCCAGGGUACUGUUAGCCUCACUUAGGUGCUCUGCAAGGAGAAAAGAGGUUAAAAAUGGUAAGUAUUCCUUCCAAGUUUGUAUACCAGUUCAGCCUUAAGUUUUGACCUUGUUAGUUGCAUUAACCAAAUCUGUGAUCAAAUCUGGUUUACAAACUGUUAUACAUGAAUCUUAAACCUCCGUGCUGUCCUACCAGAAUAAUGUCGAGUAACCUGGAACACUCAGACUUUCUUCUUUUUAGGUGUCACAUUUAAUAUGUCUAGAGAGAAUUACUGUUUUUCCUAUUUGAGAUAUUAUAUAAUUAACAAAGUGACAACCUCUGGGUUGGUAGUAAAUCUUGAUAAUAUUGCUCUUCAUACUCCAUGUCACUGCUUUAAAGGUGACUCAUGAGAAAAAAUUAUUCUUUGAUAUGAUCUCUCUGAUUUGGAGAACUUACUGUCUUAGAGCCUGGAAAAAUGUAUUUUUCUUCCUUGCUUGCCUCAUGCUCUGAAAGCUUUUCCACCUCUUUGUCACUAGAGGGCAGUGUUGCACUGUGUGGAAUAAAUACCGUUCCUGAGGAUUCGGCUUUAAUUCACUGACUCCAAGGUCUGUGGACAAGUGGUCCCAUCUCCUUUGCACCCCAUCCCCGUCUCCCCUACCUCAUCAUUAUUCUGGAAGGUGCUCAGAUAAGAUUGCUAGAAUUUUACUAGAUGGCUACCAUUCUCAAGUGCUGUCUGUUAGGCAUGGUGCCCAAGAUUCUUCAUCUCCCUUGCUGUGUUAACCCUUCCCUCCCCUUCUCUGUGAAGAAAUCUGAUUGUCCUGUUACAGAGAAUAGGCACCUUAAUAUAUUAAAUAAUAUUCCUGAGAUUACCCAGCUAGAAAGUGGCAGAGAUGGGAUUCAAACCCAGGUCGGCCUGACUCCAGUACCUGUGCUUUGACCCAUACCCUGUAGAGCUUUUCUUGGUAUUAUCUAAAACAGAUCAUUGCAAGAGAGCAUUUAGCCUGACAAGAAACAGUCUUGUACUUGGAGAUCAACUGUGAGAGGACAGCCAUGUAAUCGGCUUCAUUCUUUCAAUGGUGUCAAGGUCACCUCAUGGAAAAUGAGGUUAUUUGUUUUGUGAGCCUGACUGCAUUUCCAUAUGUUCAAUUUGUCCUUUCAAAGGAUCCAGGUGAAACUGGGAUGCUCUGAGCCAGCACUGUCCAAGAAAAAUACAGUUUGGGCUACAAUUGAGAGCCUUGCCUAUACUGUAAAAUUUUCUAGUAGCUACAUGAAGAAAUAAAAAAACAGAUGAAAUUAUUUUUAAUUAUAUAUUUUAAGCCUAAUAUACCCAAAAUAUUAUUUCAGCAUGUAUUCAGUAUAAAAUAUUGAAAUAUUUUACAUUCCUCCAUACUAGUCUUUUUGAUCUGGUGGAUAUUUUAUCCACAUAGCACGUCUCAAUUUGGACUAGCUAUCUAUUGGAUGCUGGCUAUUCACACAUUCCUGGUGACUACCACUAUGGACAUUGCAGCUCUAGACUUAUGUCUUUCACUUAAUGUUAGCUUUCCUUUAUACCCCUGGAGGAGGGGAGGGAUAAGGGAUGUCUGUAGGGUUGCCUGCAGGUCUGUUUAUGGCAUCUCUCACCAGGCUGAUAUAUUGGGGAAAUACACAGCUGAGUUAAUUCACUGAAUGUACAAGUCAGUUGGGGGAGAGAACGUCAGUCUGGUUUUGGAACUUUGUGCUUUUCUUCACCAUAUUGCUGCCUCUUUGAAUCUGAAGUUAGAAUAUUUUAUUGCCCCUUGCAUCCUUUCCCCCAAAUUAAUCCAAGCUGUCAGCAUGUUCAGGUUCUGCCAGUAUCUGAAUCAGAGGACUUUCAGGUUACCUGAAGCCUUGAAAAGCUAGGCAUUCCAAGCGGGCAUUUUUGUGGGAUUUUUAGAAUCACAGCAACCUUGAUUGUGAAAGCUAAUUCUUUCUUUAAAACAAAACAACUAAAAAGGAGACAUUAGGAAAACCGUUUGACUGAUAGCUGGGGUCCCAUAACACUUCAGCUUCCUAUCUUCCUGUUAGGCAUCUGAUUUCAGGGGCUCAAUGGAAAGGGAGUCAAGAUGCAAAAGGCUUCCUGCUGAUGUGUAUUCCCAGCACUAAUGGACUUUGGCACAGUGCCCUUUCAAAAUGCCUGGGCACAGAGGGUGAGAGACUGUUGAUGUUCUUCCAGACCUCAUCUUGAAUUAUUAAACAUUACUCUAAUGCGGCUUUUACAUUUCCAGAGGACUUUUUUUCCUGUGAGGAAUAAAUCAUAGCCUUGCAUUGUCCCCAUUUUACAAAUGAGAAGACCAAGACUUGAAAAGUUGUUGGACUUCACUGAUGCCAUGGGUCAAAGUUCAGCAGACUCUGCAUUACAUUUUCCUCCUUCCAAGCCCUCUGGUUUUAGCCAAGUACCCCUCAGCUAAAACAUUUUGCCUAAAGUUUGCAUGAGAUUCUUGGCACCAGCUCUUAAAGCAAAUAUUUAUGUUGUUCUCUGACAUAAGCCAUUGCAGGUUAUGGUUUCAUUGAAAUUAAAGGUUUUUGGCCCAACUGCAAACUUAUCAUUUGUGAAAUGAAUGGUUGAGUUCUCAUCGUGGGCCCAGAGAACCUAUGGGGACUCUUUAUGGAAAUACCCAUUUAAUACGUAUUAAAUAUCUACUGUGCACCCAACAUUGCUAGGUUCUUGUAGACCAAGUUCUUGGAGGGAAGGAACUGUAGUUUGUUCCUCUUUACAUUCCCAGUGUCCAGCACAGCACAUAGACCAUGGUAGGUGCCCAAAAAGUUUGUUUUGAACAAACAAGAAGCAGAGAGAGAGUAGUACCUGCUUUCCAGGGGCUUAUGAUCACUCAAGAUCCAAAGGAAUGCCUUACAAAUGUGGUCCUUCUAGACUGGAAGCACAUUAGGACCUUGAGUAUUUUUAAGCUCACUUCUACUAUGGAAUUUGGCCACUGAAAUAGACUCUGGUUCACAGCCACUUCUUGUACAAAAUGGCAGGGUGUUACCAAACACCUAAAAUUGACUGGGUCUCUGUUUUAACUCUUUGGUGUGUUAAAAUAAUUCUCAUGUUCACAAGAGGAGGGGGAGGUAAAAUGGUUAUGAAUAAUGUUAAUGUUGAGACAGAUAUUGUGUGUAGCCUGGUAAGUAACUAAACAGAAAAUUAAAAAAUGAAUGUGACAUGUACUGACAAACUAGCUAUUUGCAGUUGAAACCUGAAGCACAGACAGUUGUGCUUGGAGUUAGGGGUUCUUGAAACUAGAGAAAGGAGUUGACUGGAUUCCAAAAGAAACUAAGAAAUGUGAAUUAUUAAUGGUGCUGUCAGAGUUGUAGUUGACAUCCAUAGAAACCAACUUUAAUGUCAAUGUUUUCAGCUUUAACUUCAAUGUUUUAAGGCUUGUGUAGCGUAUGGAAAAUAUUUACUCUGGCAAUCGCCUGUUUUACUGUUAAAUAAUCUACAUAUUGUUAAGUGAUCUGUUCAUUUGGAUAUUUCCUCUAGGUCUUUUUGGAGGAGGACUUUAGUUCAUCAGAGUUUUUGCUGAUGCAGCAAAGCCAUGGGUGGGAUCCUUGUUUGGGGUGCGUUUGUAGACCUUCUCCCUUGGCCACCAACUUUACCUUGCCUGGUCCAGCCACGUGGCUGGUAGUGUAAGGCACGGUGUUUGUAUCUAGUUGGAGUACAGGGAAGUGUGUAUAAAAACAAUUAGAAGACCAUAGUUCAUUCUGUGAUUCUUACCGAUACGGAGUGCAGAGAAAGGACUAGAACUACCAGGGCACUUGGUCUUGAAGUACACUCUGAAAUGACCCUUGAACAUUGGCUUAAUUGGACACAGAGAAGAGAAAGAAGAAUAGAGCAGGUGAGGAGAAUAAAUUCCAUGAGGGAAAAAUGUAGGGAUGGGCCUGGUGUUGGAGGAGAAGAUAAGCACAGCAUAUUAAUACUGUCAAGGAGGAGAUGUGAUGAGGCUGCAUAAAGGAGGAACUUAUCACAACCUUCUUGGUUUAGAUUUUUAUUUUGCAUCCAAACUUUGUAUAAUCUCACAAGGGAGAAAUGACCUGAAAGCCUUCUUCUUAAAGUACAGGUUUUACUGCAGCUUUGACUGGGGAGGGUAAAGAGAUUGGAGUAAAAGAGACUUCCUUGGAAGUUUCUUUAAUAAUUCAGAAAUUUGUGUUGACAUCACAGUAGAGUAGUAAGGGUGGAUUGGAGAAACAUGUGAUAGGAACAGACAGGCCUUAGAAGACUGAAAGCGGGGAAGAGUAAUCAAUUCAACACAGAGUUUUAAGGACUUAAUUAUUUCAGAGUAAAUGUUUCUUUGGUAGGAGAUUGGAAUCACUGACAGAAAUAGGGCAAUUUAGAAAAAAAAGUUCAUUUUUCUGGUUAGGGUGGUGAAAAGUUUUGUUUUGUUGGCAUUUUCAAGGAAUGGUCUGUUAUAUAACAAAUGCCAGCUGAGCACAGUGGCUCAUGCCUGUAAUCCAAGCACUUUGGGAGGCUGAGGUGGGCGGAUCACCUGAGGCCAGGAGUUCGAGACCAGCCUGGCCAACAUGGUGAAACCCCAUCUCUACAAAAAAAUACAAAAAUUAGCCGGGCUUGGUGGCAGGCACCUGUAAUCCCAUCUAUUUGGGAGGCCGACACAUGAGAAUCGCUUGAACACUGGAGGCAGAGGUUGCAGUGAGCUGGGAUUGCACUGCACUCCAGCCUGGGUGGCAGAGUAAGACUCUGUCUCAAACAAACAAACAAAACCUACAAAUGCUCUCUAAGUGUAGAAAACAUAAGAAGAUGCUUAUGUUAAUUAGGAGAAAAACCAGGAUCUAAACUUGUUAGAUCCUGGUUUUAGAUAUAUAAAAAGUACAUAGGGAAAAACUGUGGGAAUUGUUAAGAGAUUAACUUUGAGAGUAUGGAGGGGUGUGUGUGUGUGUGUGUG
rnacentral:lncRNA from 10 species